GCCGAAGUGGCGGAAUUGGCAGACGCGCUAGAUUCAGGUUCUAGUGGUGGCAACACCAUAAGGGUUCAAAUCCCUUCUUCGGCA
rfam:Planctomycetes bacterium RBG_16_41_13 RBG_16_scaffold_45927, whole genome shotgun sequence.